GGCGGCUGGCAGGGCUGCCCGGGGGGGUCAUUACUAGCCCUUGGUGGCAAGGGUAAAGCUGGGCUCAGUCCUGGGCGCUCUGCUCCCUGCACAGCUCUACCAGCGUGGCUCCACGGGUGGCUGAGAGGCGUGCCGGGGGCGGUCCUUACCUGCCCUUGUUCGCCAGUGUGUGUCGCCAGCCGGGCAGAGCUGGGCUCAGUCCUGAGCGCUCUGCCCUCUGCACGCCUCUACCCGCGCGGCUCCCCGGACAAGGUCUCGCUGUGUAAUCCAGGCUGCCUUGGAACUCCCGACAAUCCUCCUUCCUCAGCUUGCUCAGUGCUGAGCUUACAGCUCCUGUAUCCCAUUUAAGACAAGAAAGCCACAUUCAUGGACUCUGAACAAUGCACGCUGGCCAGGAUUCUGCCAGUUGAACCCAGGAAUUCAGUUUACAGAAAUGACCUCUUGGCUAUGAUGGAGGACAAAUCGCUAAUAAAGUAUUUUCAUUCAAAACUCUUAGCCUUUCUGCUGU
rnacentral:lncRNA from 1 species